rnacentral:rRNA from 1 species
UUUCUUAUCUAUCAGUUUCUGUUGUUUCGUUAAGGGCGAAACAUGGCAGUAACGGAUACGGAGAAUUAGAGUUCGACUCCGGAGAGGGCGCUUGAGGAUUGGCGACUACGUCUAAGGAUGGCAGCAGGCGCGAAAAUUGUCCAAUAUUAACUUAGUGAGACAGUGACGAUUAAUAACGAUCUUCCAUUUAUGGAAGAGUAUCGCAAGGUUUGUAAUGGUUGUAUGUUAAAUCUCUACAAGAGUAACGAUUGGAGGAAAAGUCUGGUGCCAGCACCCGCGGUAAUUCCAGCUCCAAUAGCGUAUUCUAAAUUUGUUGCAAUUAAAACGCUCGUAGUUAUACUAUUUAUCUGAUUGUAAUGAACCGGUAACUCAGUAGGUAGUACUUGGUUGAUAUCUUGACCUUGUAUUACUGUAAUUCCAAUUACAACUGGGAAGCCCUAGGCUACUACUUGUUUCUAUGUAGGUCACUACGCUGAAGUGGGGAAGAAGUGGUUUGUUAUAAGAAAGAUCCUAUCCAACUGUGAGUAAAUCAACGUGUUCAAGACAAGCAUUGUAUUCGGGUCACCGAAAUCGCUUGAAUGAUUUAGCAUGGUAUUGGGUCUAGAUCUUAGGAUAAUAAACGGGAAAUAGGCGGAGGGCUCAUGUAUUGUAUUGCUAGAGGUGAAAUUCAGAGAUCAAUACAAGACUAACAAACGCGAAAGCAGUUACGCCCACUACGUUUCCGUCAAUCAGGAACGAAAGUUGGGGGAUCGAAGGUGAUUAGAUACCACCGUAGUCCCAACCGUAAACGAUACCGACAGGAGAUUGGAUGAUGAUACCUUUCUCCAGAUCCUUUCAGAAUCUAAGGGAAACCGAAAGUCUUUAGGUUUUGGGGGGAGUAUGGUCGCAAGGCUGAAACUUAAAAGAAUUGACGGAAGAACACACCAGGAGUGGAGUUUGCGGCUUAAUUCGACCCAACACGGGAAAACUCACCAAGACCGGAUAAUGAGCAGGAUUGACAGGUUAAAGUCCUUUCAUGAUUUCUUAAAUGGUGGUGCAUGGCCGUUCUUAGUACGUGGAUUGAUUUGUCUGGUUAAUUCCGAUAACGUACGAGACCUUAACAUAUUAAUUAGCGGUCGUUGGGGCAACCCUUAUGUUUUUUUAAACCGGCCAAGCUCUUCGGAGCAGCUUCUUAAUGGGACAACUUGACGUUUUAAUUAUUAGCUCGGGGAAGUUUAAGGCAAUAACAGGUCUGGGAUGCCCUUAGAUGUCUUGGGCAGCACGCGUAUUACAAUGUUAGUGUUAACGAGAUAUAAGCUUGAGAUUUAUCUUGAGCUUCCAAGUCUCUGGGAAACCAUUUAAAAGACAAGGAAAUCUUUUAAAUUACUAACGUGACUGGGAUUGACCGUUGUAACAUGGUCAUGAACGAGGAAUUCCUAGUAAGUGCAAGUCACUAACUUGUACUGAUUACGUCCCUGUUCUUUGUACACACCGCCCGUCGCUCCUACCAAUGGAAUGGUAAGAUGAAAGACACGGACCGACUCGCGAGAGUAGGAAAAUUGAUUAAAUCUUCCCGUUUGUAGGAAGGAGAAGUCGUAACAAGGUUUUCGUAGGUG